CCCUACGGGGGGCAGCAGUGAGGAAUAUUGGUCAAUGGGCGGGAGCCUGAACCAGCCAAGUCGCGUGAGGGAAGACGGUCCUAUGGAUUGUAAACCUCUUUAGGCGGGAAGCAAUGCCGGGCACGCGUGUCCGGAGGGAGAGUACCCGCAGGAUAAGCAUCGGCUAACUCCGUGCCAGCAGCCGCGGUAAUACGGAGGAUGCGAGCGUUAUCCGGAUUUAUUGGGUUUAAAGGGUGCGUAGGCGGAUUUUUAAGUCAGCGGUAAAAUGUCCGGGCUCAACCCGAGCCGGCCGUUGAAACUGGGGA
rnacentral:rRNA from 1 species